CCUACGAGUGGCAGCAGUAGGGAAUAUUGCUCAAUGGAGGAAACCCUGAAGCAGCAACGCCGCGUGGAGGAUGAAGGUUUUCGGAUUGUAAACUCCUUUUGUUAGAGAAGAUAAUGACGGUAUCUAACGAAUAAGCACCGGCUAACUCCGUGCCAGCAGCCGCGGUACUACGGAGGGUGCAAGCGUUACUCGGAAUCACUGGGCGUAAAGAGCGCGUAGGCGGGAUAGCAAGUCAGAUGUGAAAUCCUAUGGCUUAACCAUAGAACUGCAUUUGAAACUGUUAGUCUAGAGUAUGGGAGAGGUAGGUGGAAUUCUUGGUGUAGGGGUAAAAUCCGUAGAGAUCAAAAGGAAUACUCAUUGCGAAGGCGACCUGCUAGAACAUAACUGACGCUGAUGCGCGAAAGCGUGGGGAGCAAACAGGAUUAGAUACCCGUGUAGUC
rnacentral:rRNA from 1 species